UGUCCGGGGAUGGGAAUCGAACCCACAGUGUUCCGCUUACCGGGCAGAUGCCAUGUCCACUAAGCUACCCUGGAC
rnacentral:tRNA from 1 species